GACGAACGCUGGCGGCGUGCUUAACACAUGCAAGUCGAACGGAAAGGCCCUGCUUUUGUGGGGUGCUCGAGUGGCGAACGGGUGAGUAACACCUGAGUAACCUGCCCUUGACUUUGGGAUAACUUCAGGUAACUGGGGCUAAUACCGGAUAGGAGCUCCUGCUGCAUGGUGGGGGUUGGAAAGUUUCGGCGGUUGGGGAUGGACUCGCGGCUUAUCAGCUUGUUGGUGGGGUAGUGGCUUACCAAGGCUUUGACGGGUAGCCGGCCUGAGAGGGUGACCGGCCACAUUGGGACUGAGAUACGGCCCAGACUCCUACGGGAGGCAGCAGUGGGGAAUAUUGCACAAUGGGCGGAAGCCUGAUGCAGCAACGCCGCGUGCGGGAUGACGGCCUUCGGGUUGUAAACCGCUUUCGCCUGUGACGAAGCGUGAGUGACGGUAAUGGGUAAAGAAGCACCGGCUAACUACGUG
rnacentral:rRNA from 1 species